UAAAAAGGGAGUGGGCGGCGGAGGUGUGAGGGCGUAGGUGGAGCCCUAGGAGGGUCUAGCCUAGCUAGGUUAGCUGGUCGCGGUGUAGCGGAGGAGGAGGUAGGAGACGACGAGGGAGCGAGUUGGGGGACGUAGGUCACGGAAGGGCGCGGCCGUUGGCUCAGGGGGUGCGUCUCGGUGGAGGACGGCGGCAAGUGGAGCUGACGCGGGCUCGGAAGGGGAUGGGCUCGGUACGGAGCAGGAACCGGGGGAGGAGCGGAGCGGCAUGUUGUUGCUUGCAGCGGCGACUUCGAGGAGGCGGUAACUGCGGCCAGGGGUUCAUGCUGCGGCGGCGGACCUCACAGGGGAGGCGGUUGAAGGAGACAGAGACCAAGGCUCACCGGAGCGACGGAGCGGUUGUCCUCGUCGUCGUCUCGGCACCUGUCCGGUCGGGGAGCGCGGGGAGAGGAAGGAGGAAGAGGGACAGUAGUAGAGGAGGGAAAGAGAGAGACUAAGGGCAGCACCGGCAGGAGCGUCCAUUGGCUCGAGGCUUGACGCGGCGGGCCGGUACCUACGGCGGUACCUGCGACUCGAGGAGUUCGAGCCACCGCAGGUCCGGGCAAAGGUCGAUCUAGGCUUGCGGGACAUGGAGCGGCGGGGAAGCGGGCGAGCGGCCUCGAGACGAGGGUCGGCAAGAGCGGCGGUUCAGACAGCGAGACUUGGACAGCGACGGCAGAAAGAAGUCUCUGCUCGUCUCCUCGAGCGGGCCAGGUCGGCGCAAACAACUGGCGCAGGUUGACGAGCUAGACGGUCGCGAAUCGGAGCUAAACCUUUCCGGGUCACCGGACGGUCGCGGGCUCCGGGUCGACACGCGGAUCGUCGGUCUAGGCCGGAUGGGACGAAGGAGGUAUUAACCCGGGCCGGGUACCCACUCCGUGUGGGGGUCGCGGGUGGAAAAAAAGGACUACAACCCGGUCAAGAACAAAGCCGGGUAUUACCUAAAAAAGUCUAGAUCUCUAAAACAGAAAUAAGUCUCUCACGUCAAAAAAUCUUUUGGGGAAUCGGAAGUACGUAAAUUAUAGAGUGUUUGAUUCGUAGUGUACAUUUUUGAAACAUAUGUUUUGAACGAAUCUAAAAGUAGAUCAAAUUAUUAAAAGUUUAAAGUACUUACAAACUGAACAAAUUUUACAACAGACCAAUUUAAACGAGGAUACGGUACAAUUUUACGAAAUAAAGUAUUGAUUUAUUGGCAUUGAGCCUUAAAUUGUUUGAAAUAUACAUUUACCCCAUCUUUUUACGGAUCAAAUUGUACUACGUGAGUAGAUCGUACAAAUUGUUGAGAUUUUAAUACAAAUCCCGUCUUGUCAUGGUUUGGAUUAUAUACGUAUACACCUCAAAGGCCUGAACGACAAAACAACAAGGCCGGAGUAAAUUUGAACGGAUCUAAUCUAUCAAAGUAGUACGAAGUGGAGAACGGUACGAUUGUUGUAAAUUGGAACAACCCAUGUAUUUGCUCUCUCUUCAUUUAUUCAGUACACCACAAAAGAAGUUAUACGUUGAGGCAACGUAUAACUCGAGGUCAAUUAAACAUCCUAACAAACACGUAGAACGGUACGGUACGAAGUAAUUUGGCCUGUACGUAGUAUGAACUAACACGUAGUACGGUACAAAUACCCCACCAAAAAAUGAUACAACAAACGAAAGAAAGGCCACAUAAAGAAGAGCUAUUAGGCUAUUGCAGCGCAAACACUCCUGGGCAAGCUGAUGCAGGCAAACAGAAGAAGUACCUGAGCAAGAAGAAGGAACGCCCUAGAGUCAAACGUCCACGGCUACUAUGACACGUCUACUGCGUUGGUUCGAGUCCUCCUCGAGCUACUUCUAGAACAGGAAAUACAACAAAGCAAGAUCAGCUAGUCAUCACCUCGGGUCAACCCCAGCUAGCCCGUAGACACAUCGUAAACCCCAUCAGAAGAAAAUAAAACCGAGGCAUCAGCCCGGAACUAACAUAGACCUACUACAUUACGAAAUAAGAACAUAAACACACUUCACCGCUAACAUUCGGUUGAUACAUAGAGAAAGGGAAUACAUAAUGUACCCAACACACUUCUAAUGGAGUGAACGCUG
rnacentral:rRNA from 1 species